rnacentral:rRNA from 1 species
UAGCGACAGGCCUAACACAUGCAAGUCGAGGGGCAGCACAAGGAGCAAUCUGAGGUGGCGACCGGCGCACGGGUGAGUAACACGUAUGCAACCUGCCUGUAAGCGGGGAAUAACCCGUUGAAAGACGGACUAAUACCGCAUAAUACUAAAUUACUGCAUGGUAAUUUAUUUAAACAUUUAUGGCUUACAGAUGGGCAUGCGCAUGAUUAGCUAGUUGGAGAGGUAACGGCUCCCCAAGGCAACGAUCAUUAGGGGUUCUGAGAGGAAGGUCCCCCACACUGGUACUGAGACACGGACCAGACUCCUACGGGAGGCAGCAGUGAGGAAUAUUGGUCAAUGGACGAGAGUCUGAACCAGCCAAGUCGCGUGCAGGAAGAAUUGUCCUAUGGAUUGUAAACUGCUUUUGCAGGGGAAUAAAGUGCAUCACGUGUGAUGUUUUGUAUGUACUCUGCGAAUAAGGAUCGGCUAACUCCGUGCCAGCCGCUGC